rnacentral:lncRNA from 1 species
ACUUAGUGUGAACCAUUAGUUACAUGUUUAAUGCAAACAUUUUAAAAGAACUGCAAACUGGAAAAAAAAAUUCCCCUGAAAAUAUUUAAUGCAAGUAAGUCCAGAGAUGGUGCUUUUUACAAAAAGUUUGUCAGCAAAUUCCCUUUUUUGUAGGGGACAGGGCAGCAACAGAAUGGGGACAGGAUAUCAAACAAUUGAUUUUUAUUGCAGUAAGAGUAACAAGGAAUCCCACCCCUCACAUGCCCUUUGCUUUAUGUAAAAACCUGUCCAGCAG